UUACAGUCAUAUCAAGUUGAAACACCAGUUCCCGUCUGAUCACUGAUGUUAAGCAACGUCGAUCUUGGUCAGAACCAAGAUGAGUGACCACUUCGGAAUGACAGGCGCUAU